CAUCAUUCAGCCAAAAUGUAUGGUGAAGUAUUUGUGAACGGCACAAAAUCACACUUGCCUUAUGGCUCAUAUGGUUUUGUUGAAAGGGAAACUACUCUGAUUGGGUCCCUCACCGUCCGAGAACACCUAUACUACUCUGCACUGCUUCAACUUCCUGGUUUCUUCUGCCAGAAAAAGGGUGUGGUAGAGGAUGCCAUCCAUGCCAUGUCCUUGAGUGAUUAUGCAAAUAAAUUGAUUGGAGGCCACUGUUAUAUGAAGGGCAUUCCUAAUGGUGAGAGAAGGCGUGUUAGCAUUGCCCGGGAGCUGGUGAUGAGGCCCCAUAUCUUAUUUAUAGAUGAGCCUCUUUAUCAUCUUGACAGUGUCUCUGCUCUUCUGAUGAUGGUUACAUUAAAGAAACUUGC
rnacentral:misc_RNA from 1 species